rnacentral:lncRNA from 1 species
ACGCACAGGAGCCCACACAGUGCCUGGCAGUAUGAAUCUCUCCACUGGGACUGAAAACAAAAGCCUCACAGAUGAUGCAUCCAAGGAGACAAGAUCAGGGGGAGCCCACCCAUCAGGCAGGAUGCCCCUCAGAGGGACAUCCGAGAGCAGCAGACCUGGAAUGCCAGCCCCAUGUCCAGCACCCGACCUGGGCCCCUGAAGGUCCACAGAGGUGAAGGAGAAACUGGAAAAACCGAGAUGCACAAAAUUUUUUCCAAAUUGGAAGCAGGUAAUACUAAAAUGUACUGUCAACUCCUUCUGUCCCUGGCUCAGCAAGUGACAGCCAGCCAGCCAGGCUCCCAGGGGACACCCCCUUUCCAGCUUUGCUAAGCCGUCCUCCAGUGCAGAGAAGGUGUCAAGGUCAGCAGAUGGCAUGGCCUGCAGAAGGUUUAUGGAGACAUCUCCGGCUUUCCCAGAUUCCUGGCUGCAGAAGUGUGUUCUGAAUGGACACCCUUGGACAUCUGGAAAAAUGAUACUCUCUCACCAAAAAUAGAAGGUGGUUGGGGCAGAAACUGAGACCAGCAACUGCCAUUUUGUGGCUGGGUUCUCCCAGCACCCAGGAAACUUCAUCCCUCAGGCAGAGCCUGGGAUGCCCUGGAGUUGAAAGCACUGCCCAGUGGCGUCCUGUCUGUAGCUAUGGAAACAGAGAGACAGUCGCCUCCCUGUUGGCUUUCGUGCCAGAGACAUCUUGCUGUCAGUUGUGUUUAAAGUUAGCUUGAAAACAACAAGACGAUGCAAGUCUCCUCUUUUGACAUCAUGCAAGGGGCCCUAUGGCACGGAGGCAGCCAUGAAUAUCGCAGUGUGGAACCUGUCACACUCCGUCCCCCGUCCCUGUCCUCAGAGAGAGCUUCCUGUAUGCAUUCUUGUUGCAGUGAUGUCUUGGGCUCUGAUGAGUGCACCCUUCACGCCUGUUCCUGCAUUGGUGCCUUGUCCC